GAGAGAGAGAGAGAGAGAGAGAGAGAGUCAUGUAAAUAAUGCAUUAUGGCCAUUGUCAUUGAAAAGAUAAAAUUAAGGCAUGUUAACUUUGAUCUGCCAUGGUUUCCUGCAAGGUUAAUUUGCAUUUGCUCUAAUAAAAACAGUCCUUUACACUUUUAAGAAUUCAUGGCCGGGCACGGUGGCUCACGUCUGUAAUCCCAGCACUUUGGGAGGCUGAGGCGGGCAGAUCACGAGGUCAGGAGUUCGAGACCAGCCUGGCCAGCAUAGUGAAACCCCCAUCUCUACUAAAAAUACAAAAAUUAGCCAGGCAUGGUGGCGUGUGCCUGUAGUCCCAGCUACUCGGGAGGCUGAGGAGGGAGAACUGCUUGAACCCAGGAGGUGGAGGUUGCACUGAGCCGAGAUCACACCACUGCACUACAGCCUGGGCGACAGAGCCAGACUCUGUCUCAAAAAAAAAAAAAAAACACACACACAAAAAAACAUGAAUUGUUUUUCUCUUAAGGGCCUCAAAUAUCUACAGCCUUGAGGUUCCAUAUUUUCAAAUUGGAAGUGCGUGACAAGCCAGGAGGCAUAGUGUGAAUUUCUAACUUAGUACUAGAGUUUCGAGGUAUUCUUAUCCUUAGGAAAAUAAGUUUUGUUCAAACUAAAAUACAGUCAAGGACUUGUUUUCUUUAGACUAGAUCAAUUGACAAACAACCUGGCCCUUUUCCUCUCGGCAUGUGAAUCAUACAACUUGUUAAAGAGGAGUAUUGGGUUUUAUUCGGAGAAAGGAGGAGAGGAGAGUAGAAUUGGGUAGAAGGUUCAAUUUGUCUGAACUUGGUUGGCCUCACCCUUCACUGCUUGUUAACUACAUGAAAUCAUGAUUUAGCCAUGUCUAAUGUAAUUUGAUUGCUGGGAGGAUGCAAAUUUUCAUGUUUGCUUUUCACCUGAAUGUAUCAAAUUUCACUAUGCUUUAACCUCAGCCACUAAGAAGCUAUUACUAGAGCGUGUUUAAACAAGCUUACUUCUGCCGUCAUGUUAUCUGUCCAGAAUUCAGAGUGGCAAACCAUACUUGUACAGGCAGAAAACUACCUGGCACUGUGGGAGACUGAGUAUAGGAGAAAGCAGGAUGACGAUGGGCCUGAAUGGUGGUGUGUUUUCCUCCACACAAUGUGGCUUUGUCCUCCAAGGUGUCUCACGUGAUGGAAGCUGGCUGAUCUGACUUGCUUGCAGAUGUCUGUAACAGCAUUAGCAGCUUCCAAUUGUCAGGAGCUCGCUGCUUGCCAGGCACGCUGUCGGGCACACUGAAAUGUUGUGGGAUGGCGCUGGGAUCAGCCCUAGAACCAUGAGACCUACUUUCACAGAAAGGACACUCAUUCAGAGCAGGGCAAGGAAGUCACUGUCACCGAGACCAACACUGCUCCUGGCCCAUGCCAGUCAGUGGCUGAUGGACGAAGCUGCACUGUGGGACAGUGAAAUGCGACGUUUGUUGAUCCUGUCAGGAACAUCGUCUGUGCGGGAGGCUUCUGAGGACAGCAGCCAGAAAUCUGUUUUGUUUUUGUUUUCACAGUUACAUAUUUUUUUUUCUUCCAUGCUUAGCUGAUGCUGAAUCAAUUCGACUGUUCCUUUUGUAAGAGUCCACAAACCUUAACAAUAAUAGACAGUCAUUUGUCAUCUGGCAAGAUGAGAUUGAGAAGAUUCUCAGUGAGAAACUGAAUUUACCCAACUGAAAUGUUCACUUAAAGUUUUUUUCCUCUAAAACCUGGACUACUCAUCUGUGGAUGACUUCUACUCAUGUAAUUUUUUUUCUCAAAUUGGAUACUUAAAUGAUUCUAUGUAUUUAGUAAUCGCAAAAAGUCAGUUUUAUGGAUACAGUUUUCUCUGAACAGUUUUGGUAUAGACAAAAAGAGGUGUUACCAUCCACCCGGCGUGCAUUAUAAUUCUGUCCUUGCCUAAUCCCCACCCAAAUGCCCAUUUCCAUCUACACGAACUCAUUCUUUCUGAAUCAUAAAUGCCACACCCUCAGUUGCACAUAAAACUUUGCCAUAUUAUGUAUACAUCAGUGUGUACGAAGACAAGUUGUGGCUUAGAAGCAGUCCAUUUACAGUUUCUGGAACUGUUUAUCAUCUCACUUCUCCAUAACUGAUUCUAGGUCUGAAAGGUUUCCUUCUAAAAUUUGAUAGCCUGAUUUUGAGGAUAUGUUUUCAAUGCCUUUUCUGGUUACAAAUCCUGAUGUUGGCAGGUCUUUUUCCUGUAAGCAUGAAGACCAACCAAGACAAGGUACACUGUGCUGUUAAUCAAAGUGGCACAGAACAACUAUGUGACAGGUCAUAGCCAGGAGUGUAAUGUAACAUGGAUAUGGAGGGCCACAAAGAGUCCCAUAGCCCUCCUGCUACACAUCUGAAAAUCUCCUGAAAUUCAGAAUAAACCCAUUACUGAAAAACAAAAGUGUUUAUUGGCAUACCAGACUGUUUCAGGAAUUCAUGAAAGAUAGAAAACAGAUGGGUCUUGUGUGAUGGAGAAAUAAGACCAAAGAAAAGACCAAAGGCUAAAAGAUCUACAGGAGGGGCCGGGUGCAGUGGCUCACGCCUGUAAUCCCAGCACUUUGAAGGCCGAGGCGAGUGGAUCACUUGAGGCCAGGAGUUUGAGACCAGCCUAGCCAACAUGGUGAAACCCCAUCUCUAUUAAAAAUACAAAAAUUAGCCAGACAUGGUGGCUCACACCUGUAGUUCCAGCUACUCGGGAGGCUGAGGCAGGAAAAUUGCUGAACCCAGGAGGCGGAGGUUUCAGUGAGCCGAAAUCUUGCCACUGCACUCCAGCCUGGGGGACAGAGUGAGACUCCGUCUCAAAAAACAAACAAACAAAAAAAUCUAUAGGAGAUGACUUCUGUGAAGGUGGCUGUGAG
rnacentral:lncRNA from 1 species